rnacentral:tRNA from 1 species
UCUCUGGUGGUCCAGUGGUUAGGACUGAACAAUUUCACUGCUGUGGUCCAGGUUCAAUCCCUGGUUGGGGAA